rnacentral:tRNA from 7 species
GGGCACGUAGUUCACUGGUAGAACGCUUACCUGAUAAGUAAGAAGUAGAUAGUUCGAUUCUAUCCGUGCCCACAA